rnacentral:rRNA from 1 species
ACAUGCAAGUCGAACGGACACCAACGAAAGCUUGCUUUUUGUGAAGUGUUAGUGGCGGACGGGUGAGUAACGCGUGAGCAACCUGCCUAUCUGAGUGGAAUAACACAUGGAAACGUGUGCUAAUACCGCAUGAUGCAUAACCAUCGCAUGGUGGAUAUGCCAAAGAUUUAUCGCAGAUAGAUGGGCUCGCGUCUGAUUAGCUAGUUGGUGGGGUAACGGCCUACCAAGGCGACGAUCAGUAGCCGAGCUGAGAGGCUCAACGGCCACAUUUGGGACUGAGAUACGGCCCCAGACUCCUACGGGAGGCAGCAGUCGGGAAUAUUGCACAAUGGAGGAAACUCUGAUGCAGCGAUGCCGCGUGAGGGAAGAAGGUUUUCGGAUUGUAAACCUCUGUCUUCAGGGACGAUAAUGACGGUACCUGAGGAGGAAGCUCCGGCUAACUACGUG